GUGCCGGUAAUUGGGCAGGUUUAAUUAGUCGAACGUUGGUGCCCUUUGAAGUGUGGCUACAUUGUAGUCGUUGGCAAGUGAUAAUGAUUGAUCGAAUAUUUAGGUGGUGAUUAGUUACAGUGGAAAAACAUCAGUGAAGUAGUUUUCUAUUGUUGAAAAGAAGUAAAGACAACUUGGAUCAAUGUUCACGCCAGCCACCAGAAUGUCCAUAGAAGAAACCACAACCAGCCGGUAGGUCAUGGGGGAACGCCGCUACCUCGCUUUCACUUGGUGCCCAAUUCCGACAUUCCAUGUGAUGUGACGUAGUGGUACCUUCCCUUGGCUAUUUCAACAAACCCGAAAGAACGCGCGAUGCUACCUACCCUCCGUAAUCAUCCCGCGGGGAAUCCGAGCGAGAAUCCCAACGGAACCGUUCGAGCCACAGCUUUUAUCGCCCUUCCGUCUGAAAGGUAAUAAUUGAUGAUCUUUCCAACGACCUUCCAACGAAUGCAGUCUUCAAUUAGGCACCGGUAUCUCCAACCGUCAGUCAGCCAGUCAGGAAACCAGCCAAACGAAAACAUCACUCCAACCUUAGUUGAGGCGAUAAACAAUCUCAGCGCCAUUUAA